GACGAACGCUGGCGGCGUGCUUAACACAUGCAAGUCGAACGGAAAGGCCCCGGCUUUGAGGGGUACUCGAGUGGCGAACGGGUGAGUAACACGUGGGUAACCUGCCCUGCACUUUGGGAUAAGCUCGGGAAACUGGGGCUAAUACCGGAUAGGACCUUCGGCUGGAUGGCAGUGUUGGGAGAGUUUCGGCGGUGGGGGAUGGACUCGCGGCAUAUCAGCUUGUUGGUGGGGUAGUGGCAUACCAAGGCCUUGACGGGUAGCCGGCCUGAGAGGGUGUACGGCCACAUUGGGACUGAGAUACGGCCCAGACUCCUACGGGAGGCAGCAGUGGGGAAUAUUGCACAAUGGGCGGAAGCCUGAUGCAGCGACGCCGCGUGCGGGAUGACGGCCUUCGGGUUGUAAACCCCUUUCGCUUGGGACGAAGCGCAAGUGACGGUACCUGGAGAAGAAGCACCGGCUAACUACGUG
rnacentral:rRNA from 1 species